rnacentral:lncRNA from 1 species
AUGCUCAAAUAUUUUAGUUUGCUUAAAACAGGCUUAGAAGAUCGUUUUACGAUAAAAGUUGGAUUUUUAUUUGCCAGUCGAGAACUGUAGUGAAAUGUACAAAGAAGUUUACGACUAAAAUGUUUAUGUACAAUGUGCACAGAUCGAGUCCCGAUAUCGGGAUAGUACAGAGACGGAUAAAAUUUUGAUGAGGACGGUCCUCGGUCCUCAAUAUUAGACCGCCAUAUCUACGGUUCAUCACGUAAAUCAGCACGAAUCUUAAAGCAGAUAAAUAACGGAUGUGACUCUCUCACACUAGAGACAAUCCCGCUAAAUUUUUGUUGGUGCAGAGGUUUUAAC